AUAACGGAUCAAACUGCUUAAAAUAUUUAAUUAUCAUCGGUCCUUAACAAGUAUGCCAAAUUUCGAGUUAUUCCGAACUUUUGAAGGGGAUCAAAAUCAUGUUCAAAGAUUCCGUUAGAUACUAACAUUCGUAUGAAACUAAUAAAAGCGUAUCUAUACUAAUAUUAUAAAGAGGAAAUAUUUGUUUGUAUUGAAUAGGCUCAGAAACUACUGAACCGAUUUGAAAAAUUCUUUCACUGUUGGGAAGCUACACUAUUCCCGAGUAACAUAGGCUAUAAUCUAUUUUGAAAAAAAAUUGGGAUCUUUACUAAAACUCCAAUAAUGUACCCCAAGGUGUAAAAAAAUUACCUAAAAUAUUCUUUACAUCGCGUGCCCUGCGGAAACUAUUGAUGAUAGAAUAAAAUAAUGUACUACGACUUUGUAGAACACAUUAUUAAUGACUUAAAGUGUCGCGACAGCAUAAGUUUAACUAUUAUAGUUAUGCCGCAAUAAGUGUUCUUUUGUAAUUAAAAAAAUAAAACAACGUCAAAUAUCGUUGAAAUUUUUGUUAAAGACCCGAGCGGAGCCGGAGCGGGCCGCUCUUCGAUCAUCAAUAUUGUUGAUCGAAGGGGCCCCUAGUGAAUAAUAAAUGUCAAAUAGCUGGAACAACCGAAAUAGCAGAAGAAAAAUAAGCACAUGAUAGAGAUUUACUGAAGAGAGUAAUAGUUCCCGCGCAAUUUAUCCCAGGAAGAACGGGCGCCGGACUCCUGAUAUUAAACGGUUUCACUUUCUACAUGAAGAAUCACCAGGCGUACGGGAAGAAGCAGUGGUAUUGUUCGUCUAGGGACGUCCACGGGUGCCGCGCUGACGUCAUCACUUGCAAAGAUAUAUACUAUUUGCCGUCGCACCGGACCGGUAGCAUGGUGCUGAUUUACAAAGAGAACAAGUACUGGAUAAACAAUCGUUAUCAGAACACUAUAAAUUGGACGUGCAGAGAUCGCAAGAGGAUCGGCUGCACGAGCUGCGUGCAGACCACGAUCGAAGGACGUUACAUCAAGCACAAGGGGUUCCACAAUCACGACGACAAUUACACCAAAUACAAUUUCGAUAAAUGAUCGGCGUAUUGGAAUUAAAAUUGCUCACGAUCAAUGUAUGUAUGUUUGUUUGCUAGUAACGUGGGUCGAUACAGCGGUUUUCAAAUGAAAUUGGACGAAUAAUGACCGAGAAAUCGAAAAAUAUUCAACAUCCUGAGGGAUUCCGUGUAGAUUCCCUUCUUUAUUUCGCGUGAAAAUCGUAUUUCUGGAUCACUCCUAAUUAACACCACAAUUGAACAAAUAGGAGUUUUAUUGUUGCAGCGGCUUACACAGUUUUAAGUUAUACCAACCAUAUAAUUCUUUUCGUCUUAUGUAUUUUUGGCGGUAAAAAAAAUCUCGUGUCACAGACUAUCUUCUUUUUUCCACCUCUCGUGCAUUCCGGCUUACGCAUCAUAGAAAAGGUUUAAACGCCACAACCCUUAAAAAUAUUGUUUAAAAUUUAUGGCAAUCAUUGACACUUCACUUUUAGCUUAUUUUUUUCGUAUUAAAUCUAUAAAUUUCAUCGGUGUUAUAUCAAUUACGAAAACUCGCUUGUACUGCACGCGUCACUAUCCCACUGAGUUUCUCGCCGGAUCUUCUCAGUGGGUCGCGUUUCCGACCCGGUGGUAGAUUCUGCGAACCACGGCUCUUGCUUGGGUUCGUGUUAGCAACAUUGUCAGGUUUGAGCCCCGUGAGUUCACCUACUAACCCGGCGAAGCUGACAUGGUCUCUCUCUCAUCAGCUUAGGUAUAAAAAGCGGUAGGUAAUCAAGUUGCUUAUGGGCUGUGUGCUACCUAAAAAUAACGCGCAAUUUAAAGGAUACAACAGCCGGUGAUGUAAACUUAAUAAGGAUGUCAAGAUGCCCAAAUUGGAAGUUAGUGCUUCUAAAAAAACCUGUGUGAUAUGUUUUUUUUUAUAUGUUUCGUUGGAAUCGUAUCGGCUGCCUGUAAAAAAAAAGUGUUUUAAGUUUAAAAAAUGUUAAUAGCUAGUAAAUAUCAUUGGUCAACGUUUUAAAAUUAUCUGUUAAUAAGGCUCUUCGAAUAGAUCAUACUAGCAAAUAAGGAAUUUCGUGUUAGGAAAACGGAAUGCGCGCUUAAAAAAAUAAAUCGGCUUGGGCCUAUGUUCGUAAAUUUUACAAACGAGAGCGCAAAUAAAAUCUAAAUUUAUAUUUCUGACAUGGAAACCUGAUUAGGGCUAAACAGUUUAAGCAGAUAGACGAAGACCAGGUCAGUAUGUAACACGAAUGUUUGGAGCUCAAAGUAUUUUGGUCUAAUUGUUUUAACGACUGAAAGAUCGACUGUCUGUCAAAACUUUCGCCGCUAUCAUUAGAGACGCUAUUUAAGGGGUUCUAAAACACGAUGUUCUUUAGUACAGUAUUUUUUUUUAUUGCCCUUGUAGGCAGACGAGCAUACGGCCCACCUGAUGGUGAGUGGUUACCGUCGCCCAUGGACUUCAGCAAUGCCAGGGGCAGAGCCAAGCCGCUGCCUACCGAAUUCAGCAGAAAGGCUAGCCGUACACUACUUACGGGAGAAACAGUGUGGCAAUCGUGUCAAUGAAUAUCGACGCUUGAAAGGCAAACGUGACUAAGCGACAAUGCAUGAACUUUACAGUAGACUAAUUUAAAGUUGAAUUACCUGAAAACAAAAUUUAUUUUAACGAAUCUAACUGUAGUAGAAUCUAGCUAGUAGCUGUAGGAUUGAAAUGAUUUUAAUAGACCUAGAAAUAUAUUUUUUUUGCGCAUCGAAUAUGGUUAUUGCCUAUCAUUUAUGUACAAAGCAGUUAUUGUCGCUUAGUCACGUUUGCCUUUCAAGCGUCGAUAUAUAUAAUGACUUGUUAACAGUCUCACGCAGAUAAACCGCUUAGCUUAACGACCUUGAAAGCUCUAACUCAAUUAACAAUAAAAAAGAAUCAUCUACCCAUGAAAGCAGGUGAACUUAAAAUAGACUUGGAUUUCGUGCAGGGUCAUUUUUUCUGCAUAUUAUAAACAAUUUGCAGAGAUUAGUUGAUGAUUUUUGCGGCUACCCGCUAAUGUGGUUAUUAUUAGUGAUGAAAUAAUUUUCUCUUAGCUUUACGGCUACGGACACGAUAAUAUCUUAGGAUUGUUUUUUAAAAUAAAUAUCGGCAAAUAUUAUCGAUAGUAGAUAUUAUUUAUUACAUUAAAUAAAAUGUUUCUUUUGUUAUAUCAAUUAAUACUAAGGACUUUUAAAAUUUAAUUCAGAAAUCGUAAAAUUUCGAUCAUCAAUCUGUUCCUUUUUUUUAGUCAUAAAAAAAUCGCAAUUAUAAUCGUGGAUAACGGAUCAAUCAUAACUAGAUAUUAUUUCAAAUCCCCCACUUUCCUGUUUGCUCUUUUGACCAUCUCUUUGAAUGGAUUUUAUUAAAUCGACAUAAAAUCAGUUUAUUUAUUUUGUAAGUGUGUGGAUGUAGUAAGAAAUGCAGUAGCUAUUACAUUAUAAAAGAACUGCUCGCAGUUGUAAUACCCUUGGCGAUAUUGUUAAUAGUAAGCGAGACUUGAAUUUCGAAUCUAUUCCAGUAUAAUAAAGUAAUUAAUACCGAAUCAACGGCAUUAUUAAGUCAAUAAUAUGUACUGUAAUUUUCAUUAUACAAUCAAAUAUGUAAUUAAUACGUUUAGUAAGUAUUCUUAUAAUGAUACUGUUGAUAAAUGAACUGCGAUUGAAAUUUCGUGAUCUCCUCAAUAUUCCAGUUUAGAUUUUUAGUGGUUUUAUAUGUUUUGUAAUUAGUAGUAAUAAGGUAGGAGUAGUAUAGUAGAAAUGCUGAGGUAUUUAAAUCCUAUAAUCCCCGUACUAGUUAUAUUAAAAAAAAAAAAAUAGUUUCUCUGCUCGAGUGAAUUGUAAAUUGUUUGCCUGAGGGCUGUUCCUGAUAAUAAAGACCAGCAAUCGAAAGUUUAUUAAACCAAUCUUUGUAUUGUACGCAAUGUAACAAGCGCAAAAAUGUACCGAUACUGAGGGCGUCCAACACGUGCCUUAGACUUACAUUGCUGGUUUGCGGUCAGUUUGCGUGCUAAGUUUAAGGCCGGUUACAGUGCUCCACCGACCGUCUGCGCGUACGUUCCGUCCUGACGGUACGCAUUAACCGAUCGUCAGUUUGCUUCAUUCAGUGCUCUCCUGACCAACAAUCUGACCGAAUUGGUAUAGUCGGUACGCAAAAGGGAAGCGUUUGCAAAUAGCUUAAUUGCUGCUUAUUAUUUUCGAAAACGUUUAAAGAAAGUUCAAGUUUUUUUAAUUAUUUCAGAAUUUCCUAUCAAGUUUUGAUGAAUUAUCAGCACAUACUUCUUGCCAGGUCUUUAACUUGGCAUCGCGAUCUUUAUAUAACACGUGGCCUUUGUCCCAGAGCGGUUCACGAAGACGAGCUUCGGUGAUUAGGCGCUCGGUGUCGAUAUAUUUGGCCACGUUCAAUACGAAAUCGCUUUUUCUGAUGAUGAUACCCACAUCCGUACGGUCGGUCCACCUAUCGGUGCAGCACUGAACGCGUUCAUUUGUUUCCAUAGCGCGUCGGUAGACCGACGGCACGCAUGCGGACUAGAGGUGGCUAAUAUAACCAAUAACCAAUAAAUUUACCGGUAAAAAAAAUUAACACUUCUAUUCGAUAAAUAAAAUUACCCAAAACGGUUAAAAAUACCGUUUACCAAACACACUGCGUGUAGUGGCAUAGGCAAUUAUUGGAAAUUAUAUUUAUGCAAGUUUCAACUUUAUUUCAACACGUAAGAUUCAUUUUCGCCUUGCAGAUGUCUUCAACUUAUCAUGUAAAAAAUAUUGAAUUUUAUGAUUUCAUUGUAUGCUCUAUACCCCUCAAAAUAAAGCACAAUAUUUAAGUUGGUGUAUUUUACAGUUAAUGAUAAUUUUUUUCGUUAAAAAAUUGAAAUGAAACGAUAUUUUUACCGAACGCGAAGAUGACGUGAUUGGUUGAUUUUUUAAACGUAAUAUUUUGUUUGGUACUUGACAUUUUGGUGGCUCAGUGCAUCUUUUCUAUUAUUUUGGUAAAGUUGUGUUUUUGUAUUUUAAGAGAUUUGUACUUUGUGUUUGUGUGUUUUGACUUUGUUUUUGUGUGUUUGAGACUUUGCUUACUUUGUUGUUGUGGAUUUUUAAAUUGUAUAUCUAAUUUAAAAUGCCGAAACGCAAUGCAGAAAUAUGGGAUCAUUUCGAAAAGUGCUAGUACCAUUCAAGUUUAACAUUAGCAAAAUUAAUUUUUCAACGAAAAGAUUUACCGGUAUUUUCAACCAAUAAAAAUAUCGGUAAUUUUUUUUAUCAAUUACCAGUUAACAGAUAAAUAAAUUCAACCGUUAACGCCAUCUCUAAUGCGGACGCGCUAGACCGACGGUCCUCGUACGCAGUGCGUAGCAAUAUACGCGUGCGUACGGUCAGUCCAGCACUGUAAUGAUUUAUGAAUUUUCAUAUAAACGACAAGCGCGACUGACGUACGCACAGACGGUCGGUGGAGCACUGUAACCGGCCUAAGGAUUGCCUUACAUCGCUCAUACCUUAGCUUCGAGUAUCAACUCGUUAUGAGAUGGUGAUAGCAUUCCUUGAACGGUGUGAUUUUUUAAUUUAAGCGCCAUCUAGAAUCGAACGACGAAACUUCGAAGUAGCUCGUUAAUAAUGCAUUCGAGCGAUAGAUGGCGUUGAUUAUACUACAUUCUGCCUAUGUACGUACCUAAUGUUUGGAUCCUUCAUUAACUAUUAAGGUUUAAUAUACAUAUGAAUUGAAAUAUUCGAAUUUCGUUUGUUUUGUAGUGCUGAAUAAUUGGACUUUCCAGAAUUUUCGAAUUUCCUAGUCAGUGCAUUGUUUAUAGAAAAGUAUGUGCCAAACUCUUCAAUUUAUAAUUUUAUUAUAGUGUAAUAAAAUCGGAUACGUAAAAUUCUCAAAUAAAUUAUUGAAUAUAAUGGUACGUUUUUUUUUGUUGUUGUUGCUCAAUUAUAAAAUGUAUUAAAAGACAUUCUGAACGAUUGCAUUAAUUUAAUAUAUAGGUUCAAUUAUUUGCAAGGUGUCGAAUGAAGUCUAGUGCUCAAAGACGGUUACCGAUGGAGUUGCACUCAGAUGGGGUCCAGGUCGUGCAGAGGAUUCUUGCACGUCACAAACGAUAUGCUGGUUAUACGAGCGCAAACAGAACAUACUCAUCCACCCUCGAAGUACUUAUUGGAGAGCACGAAAAUGCAGAGAUCUUAUUUGAGUUCUACUUGCGUCCAAGCGGUCGGAUCAAUCUCCGCUUAAACAAUUUUACUUUCUACAAGCAUUUGAAGGCCAGGUCCAACGCGUACCGCUGGAGCUGCACUGCUUACGGUUCGAAAUGGAAAUGCAAAGCGCAUCUCGUCAUCACCGAUAAACUCGAAGUUCUAAAGGCGAAUAUUCUUCACAGUCAUCCGCCCACCUCGAAACGACCGGACGUUCGGAAAAUCGUUGAUUUGAAACACUCGAUUAACGAGAGAGAGAUUAAAAGGGUUGGUAAAAUAAAAUCGGACAUCGGAACUGAUUCUCAAUCGAAUUACACUCUGACGUCACCGCUUCAUAAUUAUCUCGUGGCUCACAGCGUUUUCGGAACCUAUUAAGAUCGAAGACCAAUUAAUUUCAAUUUGUCAUUUUUAUCUUUCCUUUUAAUUUUUUCUCGAAGCAAUAAAUUGCUAUAAAAAUAUAUAUAUUAAUUAGUAAUUUUAUGGAUUAUUCAAACAGCUCUAGAGCUAAUUAAUGUUAAGACCGUAAGAUAAUGAUUCUCGAUUUUAGUAUGCUCAUUUUUAGCAACGUGCCUUUACAAAUAACGUGUCUUCUAGAAUUAACAUCUAUGAAUCAUGAAUGUCUCCGGUAUAUCAUUGUAGUUUUAUAAAUUGUAAAAUAAGUUAUUUAAUCGUUUGAGUGUGAUAAUUUGCAUUUUGUAAUAAUUUGUCCAGUAUUAUUUUGUGAUCGUUUUAAAUUAUUUUAAGGAAAUAUGUAUAUUAAGACUGCUUGUUUUUUUUUUUGUGAUAAUACGGCAUCUAAUUUUAGAUCUCAGAAGCAUUUUAGUGAUGUGAAGUUUUUUUUUUCCUUAUGUGUCCUAUUUUUAAAGUAAGUUUUUCGCAUUACUUUUAACUUUGAUUUCAUUAAUUCUUAAGCUUUUUUUUACGAACUUUUGUAUACGAUUAAUGUUUUCUAAAUUAAGUAUUUGAUCAAUAAUGCUUGCCCUCGUUCUACUAUUUUAUAUAUCUUUAUUAAAUAUUGAGUAUACGGAAA